GCAAAAGCGAGGGAUAGUAGAUAUCUUGAUCCAGACAGCGGAUUGGAGCUGAAGCUUUCUUAUUCUGUAAAGCCCUCACUGAUCUGGUCAUACCGCCAUUAUCCCUACUCUAUUGUGGAACAAGAUCAGAUGAUGAACAGCUAUACAAACACAGACUGCUUUACAACCAAGUUUGGACUGUGCGUGAAUUUAAAGAACGCGGACAAAUUCUUCCCACGUUGCUAUGACCUGGCGGAUAAAAAAGGGAGAAUGUUAUUCACUGAUGACUUCAUGAAAACUGCAGCGUAUAGUAUCAUAAAAUGGGUUGUAAGAAGAAACAGUUCGCCUGUUCAAGCCGAAG